rnacentral:lncRNA from 10 species
GGCAGGUGGUUUCCAAAAGGAAAAGCUUUGGGAGAUAGAAGUCCUCGUUUUGACCUCUGCCCUCCUUGUACACCAGGAGCCAGAAAAACUUCAUCUCUUUUACAAGAAACAUUGAGAUUCCUGUAAAAUUAAGAAAUCACACAAUUUGAUGGUCUACAUUAUCUAAAGCAAAUGAGACUUCUAUUUGGAACAAAGACUACCUUGUUGGGAAAUGAGUCUGCAAGUUAAAGUGUUUUCUGGAAGAUGGUAUCUGUAUCAUCUAGACUGUGUUUGCCCUGAGGAGAAACUAAGACAGACAUGCCCAAAGGCUGAACUCAAUAUCUUUGUAGAAAUUAUUAAAAGCAAUAUCACCUUUAGCCUUGUCAAGAACCUCUAACAAGACCUUUUCAGACCAAAGUGCCCUCAAUAUCAGAGCAUGUAGUCACCCACCCCAGGUUGACCCCGGAAGUAUGAGAGAGCUAAGGUGGGAGCCAGAGGCUGAGAGAAGAAAGGGGGUGACCUAGUUCAUGCCAAAUGAAUCUCACAAGCAAGACUAGAUUGUAAAAUCAGCAAAGUCGCUCACAGCUGCAUUAUGUCCUCCCUGAGCUCUGGGCACUUUUGCCUUUGUGACCUC